AUGUUGUUCUCCAUCAAACACGGUGGCCUCAGCUUUGUGCUGCUCACGCUGUGGGUGAAAGGUUCCGCUGAGGGCAGCGACGUCACGCAGACGACCGAGCUGUGGACAGACGAGGGAGAAGAUGGGACCAUGCAGUGCAACCACACCAAGAGCUUCGACUUCUACCAGAUGUACUGGUACCGACAGCAGCCGGGCAAAACCAUGGAGCUCAUAGUGUUCACGACCACGACCAAACCAGACCACGACUUUGGAAGGUUCAGCCCCGACAAGUUCUCAGCCACCAAACCCGACGCCUUCAGGGGGACGUUCACCGUGAAGGACCUGGAGGCAGAAGACGGGGGCCUGUAUUUCUGUGCUGUGAGCAAACACAGUGAUGCAGACGCACGUGGAGGCUGA